CUGCCCUGUGUCGGGUCAUGGUCUACAAGAUGGACCACUGUAACUGAGUGACAGCUGGGGAAGGAUGUCAUGGUGCAGCGAGAGGAGAAUAGGAGGGUUCAUUCAAAGGCUCACAACAGUGAUGUUGCACCAGGAUAUUGCAGUGAACCAUGAAGGCUGAUGGGGCAGAGGAGCUCCAACUAUAUCCUGAGAAAAGACAACAUUGUGGAAACACGUCCACACGCCUACCUGGAAGGAAGCAAUGGUCACUUAGUGCAAGCGUGCUCACAGAAAUCCUGGAACUGCCGCAUCGAGUCUUCUGCGUUCAGGCGGACAAACGUCACUGGGUUGGAGGAGCUGGCGGCUGGCGCUGCCUUGUGACCCCAUGCCAUGCCGCUGUAGCCGAGGGUGCACAGGCGAGGCCGCCAGGUGCACAGGAGUUGCGAUGCCAGGUCAGACCCUGGAAACGCGACCAUUUCCCAACCAUGAGCCUUCCUGGUAACUUGUCCAGCUCACUUUGGCCUAGAUCUUCUCCUCACAGAGGGGAUCACAUAGAAAGAACUAUUAAAUAAAUGCAAGCUCAUCAGCCAACCAACUGACCGACGGGCCCAGAUUUCCAAACAACCGUGAAGCAACAAUGGGAUUAGAAGACAAAAUAUUGUUAGAUAAAAUGAGCUCAGAAAGAACUGAGGGUCUGACUGCAUGAUAUAGUUAAGAACUUUGGGAGGCCCCUGUGUAAACCACUGGCUUCUAAUAACCCCAUGUGAAUGUAAGACUCCCAACUUCAAGGGAGGGCUGCUCCCCCUGUAUCCUAGCAAUGCUCUCCCUCUCCUGGCUGUCCGGAUAUUGAUGAUAAUGAAGCAUGCUGCACACACGUGCGUUGUGCUCGUAUCUGCUGCCCCUGGACAGCUGCUGCAGUUACAUGUAUCUCAGCCAGCAUGACAGGUGAAGGCAUGCACCCUUCCCUGGAGUGACAAUGGCACCCUCCUUGCCCCUCCCCCAGUCUGUUCCCCAGUAGUCCUCCCCUGACUACUGCAGCCAUUUCUGCUGAGCACCGAGCAUGCCUGCAACUCUGCAGUGGCCGAGUGCCCGCCAGGGCUCCAGCCUGCCAUCCCAUCCAGCAGUGACUCUCCAGGUGGGGGACGGGACAUCAAGGGCACUGCUGCGAAUCCUGCGUCCUUGAUAUCAUCUUGACCUACUGAGAUGCUACUGCUGUUAGCCAGCUCCAGGAUGCAACCCCUAGAUACUGGCAUGUAUUUUAAACCAGAAAAAAUAAAAAAUAAAACAAGAAAUCAGUUGGAAGGUGACAGCUUCCAGAAUCUGGAUCUUAUGUAGUAAAUGUAGUCACACCUGGAAGAAAGGAGAUAUCUUAUCUGAGGUCCAUCAGACUGCAUUUGCCUGCAAUCUGUGGCCAGUGCUUAAAGGAAGGGGCCAGAAGUAGGGUUGGAAGGUGGAACGUUUGAGGUUGCUCUUCACCCUGGUGAUCUCUGCCAGUCAACAGAAGCUUUGAGAAAGCAAUCAUCACAAAGGCAAUUCAGAAGGGAGGUAACUCAAACAAAUAAAAUAAAUAAAUUCAAAAGGCAUAGCAGCUAAAUAUGAGAAAAAAACAGCCUUGGCUAAUGUUGGGGAUUUAUGAGCAUGAGAUGUGGUUUGAGUCUUAUAUGGGGUUAUAAAUACAGAUCCUGAUGAAAAGCAGAAGUCCUUCCCUACGUCCAUGUCCAUGGUGUUCCUAAACACUUAUCCCUGGAAUCUGCUGGAACAUCCAAAGCUGCUAGUCACAUGGACCUGGCUCAAAGUCACGAUUCGCAGAUGCCCCGUGAGCCACCUUUGCUAGGGUGAGGACAAGUUCAAAUACCACCAGGGACUUCUCUCUCUCUCUUUCUCUCUCUCUCUCUUUGUUGGAAAUAUUUGGGCUAGAAAUGGUUUGGCUCUUGGUGCUAAUAUUAACUGCAUAAUGCAAUGUAACACAGGCUCUAAUUGCUCACAUCUGAUAUUCCAUUUAGAUACGAUCAUAGAAAUGUCAACUUUACCCAUGAUAAAAAAACAGAAAUGUCAUUAGUAGUUUGCCAAAUAAUUUGUCCCUGUGAUUUUUAGCAAUAAAUAACACAGACCUCUCCGUUGCAGAGACCGGCAUCCUGCUUACCUCUUUUCCUCUCACUUCUCUCUUGUCAAUUGUUUUAUUUGGACAUUCAUGUCCAGUGAAUAAAUUCAUCAGCAACUAUUUUUGGGCUUCUGUAUUGAAAAGUUAAUUAUUUUAGAGGAAGUACAUUGUGAUAAAAAAACUCAGUUAUUGUAAUUAUAAUUAUUUGGGGAACUACUAAUGACAUUUCUGUUUGUAGGAAGGAAAGAUAAAUAUUCUCUCCUUCCCUGUAUCAAAAUAGGAAUAUGCCACUUAAAUAAUCAUGCUGAAGAUUAAUUUUCAGAAUGGAUUGUGAGUAAAGCAGCAAGUGUCAGAUGUAAAGAUUGUUGCAGUGUGACCAAAGUGACUGUUUACUCAUGGUUUCAUGUCGGGAUUCUUCGAGGAUGUCAACUACUGAGCAAACCUGGACUGGGGCGUGAGAGCGAGUUGGCACCUGUUCGUUGCUGGGGUCAAUCUGGCCAACUUGACUGCAUGGGGAGCUUCCUUUCCCUGUCUUUACACAUAAGUAUUAUCUGGCUUUUCUGAAGAACAGCAUGUUCUACAGGAAAGGAGCAGAGGUGUGCUGUGGGCCAA
ensembl:lincRNA